AACGAACGCUGGCGGCAUGCCUAACACAUGCAAGUCGAACGAGAUCUUCGGGUCUAGUGGCGCACGGGUGCGUAACGCGUGGGAAUAUGCCCUUUGGUUCGGAAUAACAGUUGGAAACGACUGCUAACACCGGAUGAUGACGAAAGUCCAAAGAUUUAUCGCCAGAGGAUGAGCCCGCGUAGGAUUAGCUAGUUGGUGUGGUAAAGGCGCACCAAGGCGACGAUCCUUAGCUGGUCUGAGAGGAUGAUCAGCCACACUGGGACUGAGACACGGCCCAGACUCCUACGGGAGGCAGCAGUGGGGAAUAUUGGACAAUGGGCGAAAGCCUGAUCCAGCAAUGCCGCGUGAGUGAUGAAGGCCUUAGGGUUGUAAAGCUCUUUUACCCGGGAUGAUAAUGACAGUACCGGGAGAAUAAGCUCCGGCUAACUCCGUGCCAGCAGCCGCGGUAA
rnacentral:rRNA from 1 species